rnacentral:rRNA from 1 species
UACGUAGGGUGCGAGCGUUGUCCGGAAUUAUUGGGCGUAAAGGGCUCGUAGGCGGUCUGUCGCGUCGGGAGUGAAAACUCAGGGCUUAACCCUGAGCCUGCUUCCGAUACGGGCAGACUAGAGGUAUGCAGGGGAGAACGGAAUUCCUGGUGUAGCGGUGGAAUGCGCAGAGUAUCAGGAGGAACACCGGUGGCGAAGGCGGUCUCUGGGCAUUACCUGACGUGAGGAGCGAAAGUGUGGGGAGCGAACAGG